rnacentral:misc_RNA from 1 species
AAGUCGUAACAAGGUUUCCGUAGGUGAACCUGCGGAAGGAUCAUUAUUGAAUAAACCUGGCGUGGUUGUAGCUGGUCCUCUCGGGGACAUGUGCUCGCCCGUCAUCUUUAUAUCUCCACCUGUGCACCCUUUGUAGACCUGGACGAUAACUUUCCGAGGCAACUCGGUCGGGAGGACUGCUGGCUUUCACGAGUCGGCUUUCCUUGUAUUAUCCAGGCCUAUGUCUUACACAUACCCCAAAGAAUGUAACAGAAUGUAUUGUAUAUGGCCUAGUGCCUAUAAACUAUAUACAACUUUCAGCAACGGAUCUCUUGGUUCUG